GAACGCCGUAUGAAAUGAAAGUUUCACGUACGGUGUGGGUCGGGGGAAAAGACGGAGAUAACAUCAAACUCUUACCUAUCGACAU
rnacentral:ncRNA from 2 species